rnacentral:tRNA from 1 species
GCGCGAGUGGCGAAAUUGGUAUACGCGCUGGAUUUAGGUUCCAGUGUCUUCGGACGUGCGGGUUCAAGUCCCGCCUCGCGCA